rnacentral:rRNA from 1 species
ACGAACGCUGGCGGCGUGCCUAAUACAUGCAAGUCGAGCGCAGGAAGCAAGCUGAUCCCCUUCGGGGGUGACGCUUGUGGAAUGAGCGGCGGACGGGUGAGUAACACGUGGGCAACCUGCCUGUAAGACUGGGAUAACCCCGGGAAACCGGGGCUAAUACCGGAUAAUACUUUCUUUUGCAUAAAGGAAAGUUGAAAGGCGGCUUCGGCUGUCACUUACAGAUGGGCCCGCGGCGCAUUAGCUAGUUGGUGAGGUAACGGCUCACCAAGGCGACGAUGCGUAGCCGACCUGAGAGGGUGAUCGGCCACACUGGGACUGAGACACGGCCCAGACUCCUACGGGAGGCAGCAGUAGGGAAUCUUCCGCAAUGGACGAAAGUCUGACGGAGCAACGCCGCGUGAGUGAUGAAGGUUUUCGGAUCGUAAAACUCUGUUGUUAGGGAAGAACAAGUUGGGUAGUAACUGACCCAACCUUGACGGUACCUAACCAGAAAGCCACGGCUAACUACGUGCCAGCAGCCGCGGUAAUACGUAGGUGGCAAGCGUUGUCCGGAAUUAUUGGGCGUAAAGCGCUCGCAGGCGGUCCUUUAAGUCUGAUGUGAAAUCUCGCGGCUCAACCGCGAACGGUCAUUGGAAACUGGAGGACUUGAGUACAGAAGAGGAGAGGUG